rnacentral:lncRNA from 1 species
GCCCAGGAACUUCCACAUGCCUCAGACACAGCCAAAAAGAAAAAAAAAAAAAAAUACACUAUGAAUUCUUUUGUGACCUGCUCUUUUCCCUAAAUAUUCUGUAUGAGGUUUAUCCGUGUUGACAUAUGGAGUUCUACUUCAUCCAUUUACAUUGGUGUAUACUAUCUUUUAUAAAUGAUAUCAAUUUAUUUUUUCCUUAUUCUUUGUUGGAGGUUAUAUAGGGUAAAUACCUGUCUUCUACUGAGUUGUUUGAGGCAAAUAUCUUCUCUAAUUUAUAAUGUGUUUUACAGUUUUAGUGGUGUCAUUUGAUGAACAGAAGUUCUUGAUGUCUUCAAAUUGUUGGUGCACAUCUGCUUGGAUAAACAUAUUUUCCAUUAUCAUCUUCCAAAGGUUUUUCUUUAUACACUGCAUUUUUACUUAAUCUGAAAAUGAUUCUAUGUGUAAACGUGAGAUAGAUUGUGUCCAGUACUAUCUUUUUCUUCCAGAUGCCUACUUAUUUUCACAUUAUUCAUUGAGAGAUUAACCCAUUGAUUUGUUUAAAUAUUGUUUUCAUAUUAUGACCAUAUAUGUUUUGGGUUCUCUAUUCUGCCCUAGUAUUUCAUUUUCUUUUUCUAUGAAUUAAUCAUAGGUUUUAUAAUGUCUUCAUAUUUGUUAGAGUUAGUGCUACUGCCUUAUUUUUAUUUGAGAAGAAUUUUAGAAUUUCCUUGUCAAUGUCCACAAAAUCACCUGACAUGAUUAUUAUUGGAAUGAUGUCAACACAACACAUCAUUAAGGUGCAAAGCAACCUCUCUCUAUAGUUCUACCAGUCUUAAACAUGGUACAUCUCUUCAUUUAUUUAUACCUUCUUAAUUAUUUAUUGAUUCAUAAUUUUAUAAUAAUUUAUAUUUUAUAAUUAUGUAAUUGUUGACUUUAUUACUCAAUGUAACAUUAGUGUACUUCUGUAAAUAAUAUGUAGUGUACUUUCAUUGUAUAAUGGAUUUCUUAAUAUAUAAAUGUUGUUGAUUUUCAUUAUGGAACACAGAACUUGAUUAAUCAUCUUCAUUUCAUAAUCCAUUUUCAGCAUCAAUUUCUGCUUCAUUUUCUUUUUUCUUGUUUCUCUUAUUCUAUUAUUUUUGUGUAUGUAUCUGUUGUAGAUUUUUGGUUUCCAGAUACCAUAGGUUUUGAUAUAGCAAUCUAUAUAUACACAAGAUUGUCUUAAGUUGCUGGCCUCUUAAUUUCAAUACCUUAUUUAUUUUUAUUUUUACUUUUGGAAUAAUGUAAUUUAUGCCCAUGAUUAAUGAAGCAAUUGUCAAUUUUGUUGCUUAUAGUUAAUAUGCAUUCAAUUAUGUCAAAAUAUUUACCUCAUUUUUAGCUAUUCUCACUUGUAUGUUAGAUCUUUCUGAUCAAAUCAUUUUCUUUCUGCCUAAAGUACACCUGCAGAACUUCUCUAUUAAGAUUUGCAGAUUGUCGUCUCCACUUUUUAUUUUACCUAAAAUCGUCUUGUUUUUACACUUGUUCUUGAAAUAUAUAUUCAUUGAGUACAGGAUUCCAGCUUGACAUUUAAUUCAUUGGUACGCUGAAGAUAGUACCUUCAGGAUAAGGACACAGGAUUUACUCCUGGAUGGACCUCACAUUGAGAGUCCCAAUUCAUGAAAGUUCCACCUUUAUGAGACUUCUUACAGGAAGCCAUGAAAGACUCCCUAACUUGAGUAGUGCUGGGUAUUGUGCUCUGCAAACCAAAGCCCAAAAAGCAAUGUUAACAAGUAUGCAAUCACCAUUAGAGCAAUAGUAACUUUGGUGCUCUGCUGACCUCCGUGAACAGUAUUAUCCUUUCCUCCUUGUGUCCCAGCUUUCACUUACUCUCAAGCCAGCUCUUUUACAUGUAAGCCAAAAUUGCUUAAAAUAUUUUGUGUUAUUUUUCAGAGGAAGAUGUCUUAAGCCAGGCAUCUUGUUAGAAGCAAACUUGGCUAACACUUUACAGGUUGCAAAUAGUGAAAAUUUGUUUCAUUAUUUAGUAAAUAUUAUAUCUACUUUUGUUGUCAAUUUAAAUAUUUAUUUACAUAUUUGUUAGAUAUUAUUCUUGAGUUUCAUUUGUUCCUUGAACUAUAAAAUGAAAUAAUCUAUCUGGAAUGCCUUUCUUGCUUUAUGACUGAAACAGUUUAAUUUUUGCCUUCGAACUUAUCCCCAGGCCUACACCUACAACAGGAGGCUAAUAAUACACAUCUUACCCUUUAGAACUUAAUUUCUCUUUAUUUCUAUUUAGACCUGAUUUUUUUUCUAAUUAUUAUAGCUACACUUUUUCCUAGAAUCUAAGAUGCUUUCUCCAUGCUUUUGUUGCGGGAACUUGAUCCCUAUGUUUGUUCCUGUCUUAGUUUUGCUAAAUUAGGCAGUACUGUAAUACUCCUUGGACUGUAACAGGUAUCCUGCCACCUGGAUUCUAGCCAUGAUUUCUUGACUUCUAGGGCACAUCUCCUGGUAGCCUAUCUGCCUCUCACCUACUGGCUCUCAGCCUGGAAGCAGCCUUUCUGAGAGUCCCCUUGUCCUGUGAAAAACAAGUUCUGCAUGAAAAAGAUUAUUCAGGACGUAUUUCCAAUGUCCUAUAUCCAAAUUACUUAGGAGAACCUGUGACAUUAUCAUAUUAAUUUAGAAUCAAAGGAGUCUAAGAGAACUAGUGAGGAAAAGAUAAUUUAGGGUCAAAGGAGUAUAUAAGAACUACAGAGAAACAGAAAUUCAUGGAAAUCUCAUAGGGAAUAUUGCAUUUAAUAUUGGUUUGAUUCUUAACGUAUUAAUUUAGUUGGUUUCUUUUGUAUAGAUGUUUCAAAAUAGCUCAAGUUUCUUUAAUUGGUUCUGAAAUUUUCAAAUCUUAAAGUUCUCAAAAUUGUUAAAAUAUCUUAAGUCAUGAAGAAAGAAAUUCUUUAAUUAUUCAAACACUAAUUCAUACUUUAGAACAUUACAUCAUAAAUAUUUUAUUUUUUUUCAAAAAGAGGACAAAUGGAGUUCUCGUCGUGGCGCAGUGGUUAAUGAAUCCGACUAGGAACCAUGAGGUUACGGGUUUGAUCCCUGGCCUUGCUCAGUGGGUUAAGGAUCCCGCUGUAGGUCACAGACGCAGCUCUGAUCCCGUGUUGCUGUGGCCAGGGCGUAGGCCGGCAGAUACAGCUCUGAAUCAACCCCUGGCCUGGGAACCUCCAUAUGGUGUGGGAAGCGGCCCUAGAAAUGGCAAAAAGACAAAAAAAUGAAAAAAUAAAAAUAAAUAAAUAAAUAAAAAGAAGGACAUAGAUCCCCUCAACAGAUAAAAUUAUCAUCAAUGAUAUGUGACCUUGAAAGACUUGAAAACUUCACUUGACGAUUAAUUGUACAUGAUUGCUGCAUAAUUUAGGUUUCAUCCUUAUCCAUUCAGGUUAUACAUUUGAACCAAUUUUGCCUGUCUAUAUUGGCCAGCAGUUAACCACUCAAAUAGAAAUGCUUGCCUAUUUUUACACUAGUGUUUAGUGAGAGCAGUUUUGAAGUCAACAGUAAAUAAAUACAGCAUUAGAUUAUUCUGAUGGCACAAGUGUAAAGAUAUUUUCUAAUUAAUUUUUCAAUGGUUUGAAGUCUUAUUAAAUUACUGUAUUUUUGAAUGCAGUUUUGUGGUGUUUAGGUAUAAUUUUUGAGUAAAACCAAGCAUCGCUUUUUUCUUGUUGUUGUUGCUUUUUAGGACUGCACCCAACGCCAUAUGGAUGUUCCCAGGCUAGGGGUCCAAUCAGAGUUACAGCUGCUGGCCUACACCACGGCUCAAGGCAACAGCGGGAUAUUUAACCCACUAAGUGAGGCAACCUCAUGGCUCCCAGUCAGAUUUGUUUACACUGCACCACGACGGGAACUCCCCAAAACAAGCAUUACUCUCAAUUUCCCCUUUUCUUUCUCUACUUUACAUCCAAUUCCACAAUCUUGGUGGGUUCUAACUCCAAAAUAUACCAUGAAUUAUCUAUAUUCUUCCACCUUGAGUCUCUUCAGCUUAAUCUAAACCAGGGUUAAGUCUCUCAAGAACUAGUACAUUUUCCUAAUGGUUUUGUCCACUCUAACAACCUACCAUCCCCUUUUCCACACAGCAGCAUCAAGGGUGAUUUUAUUUUAUUUUGUUUUGAUUUUUACAUAAAUCAUAUCAUAAAUUCAUCUGUCUACAGGUCCACUGUGGAUUCCAUUGUGUUUUAUAUAAAAAUUUAAAAAAAUAGCUUUACAUAGUUUCUAAUAUCUUAUUAAAUCUUGCAUGGCCUCCUUCCUUUUUAUAUGAUUUUACCACUUUUUCCUGGCUUAUUAUGUUGUAGCCCCAAUGACCAUUUUGUUUUCCUUUUUCGAGAAGGUUUUCUCAAAACCUUUGUAAUCACUGAUUACUGUUCUCUCUUCCUAGGAUACACUUCCUCUUCCUUGAAAAUGUCUGAUUCUAGUAUGGUUUUUGUCUUACUUCAGGUACCAGGCUUAGGUGAGGCUUUCCUUUCUAGUGUUAUUCUCCUCUACACAUUUAUCUGUCACUGUCCAUAAAAUUAUUAUGAAAUGAUCUUAUCUAUGCAUUUUAACUUAUUUAUGCUCUGUAUACUUUACUGAAUUUUUUUGUUUUAUGAAAUCAGGGAUUUUGUUUCUUUUCAUUUUCUAUCCUCCACAGCUAGAAAGAAACCUGGCACAUGUAGAUAGCAUUAUUGAAUAAAUUAAUGAACAGAAUGAUAUAAAUAACAUUUAUUCAAAACCAAACUGUAAAGUGUGAAUAUUUAGUAAUUUAUAAAACUGAGUUAAGAACUUUCCCCCAGAUUGAAGUAUCAUUAAGAAGGAAAUGAGGGAAUUCCCUGCUGUGGCUUGGGUCACCACUGUGGCAUGGGUUCAAUCCCUAGCCCUGAAAAUUU